CAAGGCUCGGGCAGCUUUGGUUCCGGGGCAGCCCCUCGGAUUAAAAGGGAACUGCGGUGCGCCUAUCAGGCAAAUCCGCGGCUGCCCCCGCAACUGUAAGCGGCGAGCGACGGCCGACGAUGUCACUGGGAUGAUCCCGGGAAGACCGGCCCGAGCGCUGACCCGCAAGCCAGGAGACCUGCCCAAGCCCUCACCCAUUU
rnacentral:ncRNA from 2 species